AGGCUGGGGAAUUCAUGUGGAGGUCAGAGUGGAAGCAGGUGUGAGUGGGUCCAACAGAAGGAAACAUGGCUGCCAAAGUAUUUGAGUCCAUCGGCAAGUUCGGCCUGGCCUUAGCCGUUGCAGGAGGCGUGGUGAACUCUGCUUUGUAUAAUGUGGAUGCUGGACACAGAGCUGUCAUCUUUGACCAAAUCCGUGGAGUGCAGGACAUUGUGGUAGGGGAAGGGACUCACUUCCUCAUCCCAUGGGUACAGAAACCAAUUAUCUUUGACUGCCGCUCUCGACCACGUAACGUGCCAGUCAUCACUGGUAGCAAAGAUUUACAGAAUGUCAACAUCACGCUGCGAAUCCUCUUCCGGCCUGUGGCCAGCCAGCUUCCU